AAUUCUCAACCAUACAAGUUUUUAUAAUCUGUGUGGCUUGGAUCAUGGGAUUUGCGGGCUUUGACCAGUCAGCUAUCCUCAAAUACAUUAGCAGAGCUUUGGUUGCUAAUCUCUAGUGUGAUAAUUAUCUACGCUAUUGAGGAGUGACAUAAUAUGAGUACUGCUUCUAAUCGUCCUUCAAGACAACUAUUGACA
rnacentral:misc_RNA from 1 species